rnacentral:rRNA from 1 species
GGGGAAUAUUGCACAAUGGGGGAAACCCUGAUGCAGCGACGCCGCGUGAAGGAAGAAGUAUCUCGGUAUGUAAACUUCUAUCAGCAGGGAAGAUAAUGACGGUACCUGACUAAGAAGCCCCGGCUAACUACGUGCCAGCAGCCGCGGUAAUACGUAGGGGGCAAGCGUUGUCCGGAAUUACUGGGUGUAAAGGGAGCGCAGGCGGGAAGAUAAGUUGGAAGUGAAAUCUAUGGGCUCAACCCAUAAACUGCUUUCAAAACUGUUUUUCUUGAGUAGUGCAGAGGUAGGCGGAAUUCCCGGUGUAGCGGUGGAAUGCGUAGAUAUCGGGAGGAACACCAGUGGCGAAGGCGGCCUACUGGGCACCAACUGACGCUGAGGCUCGAAAGUGUGGGUAGCAAACAGGAUUAGAUACCCUGGUAGUCCACACCGUAAACGAUGAUUACUAGGUGUUGGAGGAUUGACCCCUUCAGUGCCGCAGUUAACACAAUAAGUAAUCCACCUGGGGAGUACGACCGCAAGGUUGAAACUCAAAGGAAUUGACGGGGGCCCGCACAAGCAGUGGAGUAUGUGGUUUAAUUCGACGCAACGCGAAGAACCUUACCAAGUCUUGACAUCCCUUGACAGGCAUAGAAAUAUGUUUUCUCUUCGGAGCAAGGAGACAGGUGGUGCAUGGUUGUCGUCAGCUCGUGUCGUGAGAUGUUGGGUUAAGUCCCGCAACGAGCGCAACCCUUAUGGUCAGUUACUACGCAAGAGGACUCUGGCCAGACUGCCGUUGACAAAACGGAGGAAGGUGGGGAUGACGUCAAAUCAUCAUGCCCUUUAUGACUUGGGCUACACACGUACUACAAUGGCGUUAAACAAAGAGAAGCAAGACCGCGAGGUGGAGCAAAACUCAGAAACAACGUCCCAGUUCGGACUGCAGGCUGCAACUCGCCUGCACGAAGUCGGAAUUGCUAGUAAUCGUGGAUCAGCAUGCCACGGUGAAUACGUUCCCG